GGAAUAUCAUAUUCUUUCCCCUCCCUAGUUGUGACACUAAAAUCUCUAUGUGAACUGCGCAUCAACAUAAUCAGUGGAGGGUGAAGUCUGAGAGCUUCUUUAAUACACCUAUAUAGGUUGUCCAUUUCAGACAGGAUAUCAUGAUCAAUCUUGUCGCCAUGCUUUCCCAUCAGCUUUUGUUGCUCCUCUAAAACAGCAGACAUGUACUCUUUGUGGCGUAGGAGAUAAGCCCCAGUCCAAGUAGAAGUAAUAGAACUAGUAUGUUGACCUGCAAAAAGAGCAGCUAUGAGCAAACCAGUGACCUCGGAAUCUGUUGUUGAUCGACCAUCUUUGUACUUUGAGUCAAUAAAACAUUGCAACAUAUCAUUCUCUGAACUUCCAUUGCAUUUUCUGGAAGCUA
rnacentral:misc_RNA from 1 species